rnacentral:rRNA from 1 species
GAGGUUAAGCGACUAAGCGUACACGGUGGAUGCCCUGGCAGUCAGAGGCGAUGAAGGACGUGCUAAUCUGCGAUAAGCGCCGGUAAGGUGAUAUGAACCGUUAUAACCGGCGAUUUCCGAAUGGGGAAACCCAGUGUGACUCGUCACACUAUCAUUAACUGAAUCCAUAGGUUAAUGAGGCGAACCGGGGGAACUGAAACAUCUAAGUACCCCGAGGAAAAGAAAUCAACCGAGAUUCCCCCAGUAGCGGCGAGCGAACGGGGAGGAGCCCAGAGCCUGAAUCAGCAUGUGUGUUAGUGGAAGCGUCUGGAAAGGCGCGCGAUACAGGGUGACAGCCCCGUACACAAAAGCGCAUGUGCUGUGAGCUCGAUGAGUAGGGCGGGACACGUGGUAUCCUGUCUGAAUAUGGGGGGACCAUCCUCCAAGGCUAAAUACUCCUGACUGACCGAUAGUGAACCAGUACCGUGAGGGAAAGGCGAAAAGAACCCCGGCGAGGGGAGUGAAAAAGAACCUGAAACCGUGUACGUACAAGCAGUGGGAGCACCCUUUGGGGUGUGACUGCGUACCUUUUGUAUAAUGGGUCAGCGACUUAUAUUCUGUAGCAAGGUUAACCGAAUAGGGGAGCCGGAGGGAAACCGAGUCUUAACCGGGCGUUAAGUUGCAGGGUAUAGACCCGAAACCCGGUGAUCUAGCCAUGGGCAGGUUGAAGGUUGGGUAACACUAACUGGAGGACCGAACCGACUAAUGUUGAAAAAUUAGCGGAUGACCUGUGGCUGGGGGUGAAAGGCCAAUCAAACCGGGAGAUAGCUGGUUCUCCCCGAAAGCUAUUUAGGUAGCGCCUCGUGAAUUCAUCUCCGGGGGUAGAGCACUGUUUCGGCUAGGGGGCCAUCCCGGCUUACCAACCCGAUGCAAACUGCGAAUACCGGAGAAUGUUAUCACGGGAGACACACGGCGGGUGCUAACGUCCGUCGUGAAGAGGGAAACAACCCAGACCGCCAGCUAAGGUCCCAAAGUCAUGGUUAAGUGGGAAACGAUGUGGGAAGGCCCAGACAGCCAGGAUGUUGGCUUAGAAGCAGCCAUCAUUUAAAGAAAGCGUAAUAGCUCACUGGUCGAGUCGGCCUGCGCGGAAGAUGUAACGGGGCUAAACCAUGCACCGAAGCUGCGGCAGCGACGCUGAUGCGUUGUUGGGUAGGGGAGCGUUCUGUAAGCCUGUGAAGGUGGCCUGUGAGGGUUGCUGGAGGUAUCAGAAGUGCGAAUGCUGACAUAAGUAACGAUAAAGCGGGUGA